rnacentral:rRNA from 1 species
UACGAAGGGUGCAAGCGUUACUCGGAAUUACUGGGCGUAAAGCGUGCGUAGGCGGUUGUUUAAGUCUGUUGUGAAAGCCCUGGGCUCAACCUGGGAAUUGCAGUGGAUACUGGGCGACUAGAGUGUGGUAGAGGGUAGUGGAAUUCCCGGUGUAGCAGUGAAAUGCGUAGAGAUCGGGAGGAACAUCCAUGGCGAAGGCAGCUACCUGGAACAACACUGACACUGAGGCGCGAAAGCGUGGGGAGCAAACAGG